AGUGUGACAAGCAUGUACGUACACGAAUCUCAGUGGCAUGAAAGCAGAGUCAGAAUUCCCACCUUCCUUGGCUCAAAGGAAACACAAAGCAUAACAUUCUGACCUGUCUACUCUUGGAAUGGCCCGAAGAGCUGUAAGAAGUAAAUCUAUGCCAGAGCAUCUCUCCGUUUUAUUACUUAUCAGUUUUUUACACCAAAAUAAGUUGGAGAUUCCUUGAAGUUGUUUAAUUCUCCCAUAAUUGUUCAGGGCAGCCAUUCCAGUUUGAUGGCCUGAUCCUUCCAUCUUCUGGCUCCACCAAUUCCAAGGCCUUGCUGUCCUCUGCAUCAAGCCUGAAGAAGGGGACAGAGCAUGGAGGAGGUAUGUCUGCUUCUUAAAGGCUUCGGCCCUGGAAGUGGCAUGCCUCACUUCUGCUUACAUUCCUGCAAGAGCAUAUCACAACUGAUGGGAAGAGUGGGGCUUGGCAACUGUGCUCUGCUGUGUAGAGCAAGUGUUUGGACAAGUUAAAUAAUUACAACCCCACAGUCAGGAGCACAUUUAACUCAGUUAACUCAGACUGAGGGACAGAUCAAGAAAGGCUUUGGGGAAGAGGUGGCAUUUGAACUGUGUCUUGAAGAGUGUAAGCUAAUCAAGUUUUGAAAAAGGACAAGAUUUUAGGCAGAGAAAACAUGCAAAAGGGAAGGAAAUGUGAAAGAAUAUGGUCUGUUGGGGGACAAAAGUAGUGCAAUGUAUUUUGGAGCCAUGAUAAGCCAAAAGAUUUGGCUAACAAGCCUUUAGAUUUGAAGGAAAAAUUAUGUAUUUAAGAGAUUUUUACAGUAUAGAAUCCACAAGGUUUGGGGUGAGAUGCGACCUAAAUGAUGAGAAAUAGCCAGGUCAGUGAACUUCUGGGAUCACCACAUGCCAGGCAGAGGGAAUAGGAAGUGCAAGGGCCUCAGAUGGAAAUGGGGUUGGUGUGUUCAAAGAAAACAUAGGCUUAUGGGAGGAGAUGAGGUCUGAGAUGAGGCAGUGAGAGGCCUCAUCAUGCAGGGCCUUUUAAACUGUGGUGGAAAUUUUGGAUUUUAUUCUAAGUCCAGUGGAAAGUUAGACGAUUUUAAGCAGGAGAGUGACAUCAUUCUGCAAUAAGACUAGAUUAAGGACACAUAAGAUUUAUUCAAUCACAACAAGUAUAUUCUGACUCCACUUCCCUGAAUAUUACAUUUUCUAAAUGGUACAUGCCAAUGUAGUGUACUCAUAUGGAACUCAUUAUUUUAGAGUGAAAUUGAGAUGUUUAUUUGAAUUAAUACUCUCAAUUGUCUCAUGGUGAGAAAAACAAGUUCAUAUGCAACAGGAAUAGAGAAAGACAACAGGUAUAGAGAGAGAAGGGAAUGGGAAAAAACAAUGCCAAAUGUUGCUCAUCUUAGUUUUUUAAAAAUGAACAUUUGGGGUAUGGUUUUGUAAAAGCUGAGCCAAGAUUCAGUGUUGGGGGAGGUCCCCACAGAAAGUUUUCCUCUCAUGUAAGUAAGAUAAUGGCAUCAUUUCCCCCGAAUGCUGUGCCCUGAUCCUCUUGGAGUCUAUGAAAGGUGCUGGCCCAACAACCCCAUGCAGAGGAUUCUGGGAAGCGUUCAAGAGAAGUUCAAGAAAAUUGUAAAUUAGAAAACUACUUCUAAAUAAGAAUCUGGUACAUAUUAAUCUGAAAAUGUACUUUUCAAAAAUGCCUUCAUUCGACCAAAGGAAUGGUUUUAGGAAAAGGGAAAGUCUCAGAACAAACUUUGACACAGUUUCCUGUAGGAUGGGAUAUGAGGCAUUUCUGAGAGGGUUUCCUAUUCAAAAUGACUCCCCAUAACCCAUCACUAACCCCAGAAACUUUCCAAAGUGCUUGGUACUAAAAUGUCCUUUCUGAUGUUUGGGGCAAGACUUUUAUCUCUUAGAGGACAGUGAAAAUGCGUGUACCCUGAUAGGGCAGAUGCAUUAAAAACCGAAAGACAAGUGUCCCAUCUGUACACAGAAGGUGCUCCUCCUCCUAACCCACAAUUCAGGCCUCCUGCUCUACUUUCCUUUCCCCAUCCUCAGCAGGCAUUGCUUCAUAAUUAAAACAAACAAACAAACGAACAAACAAGGCUAUAGGAUGUGAACUUCUUGAUUUUCUACUCUCGUAUCUACACGUUUAUCUCCCUCUGACCGUUUUCUGGGAAUUAGUUCCCUCCAGUCACUGAAGCUGAUUCAAGUCUCCUUCCAUAACUGUACUCUUGGUUCUGUUUCCUCUUGUACUAAUUCCUUAAUUGUUUGCUUCCUUCAAAAAUAUUUUAUUGAGCUCCUACUAUGUGCAGGCCAUCGGGCUUGAUGUUGGGAAUAUAGCUGUGAUAAUUAAGAUGGUCAAGGUGGAGCUUCCAUUCUAUCAAAAAGAAUCUUCCUCAUUGGAUUUUCAAUCUCUUUUGAGUGGCUCUAUCUCUACAACCUAAAACCACAUCCAAUUCUCUACCUAUUAAAAAAAAAUAGAAAAAGAUGGAAAGUCUCAACUGUAUGUUCCCUUCUUCAUACUACUUAUCUCUUCCCUUGUCAAAUGAGAAAACCUAUUACAGUGUUUCUAAAAUGAGUUCACAUGAACUAUUUUUAAAGAACCUUGAUCAAUAUCUUGCACUCUAUACACAAAUAAACUCUAAAUGGGAUAUAGACCUAAUCAUAAAACUUAAAACUAUAAAACUUCAUUGGAAAACAUGGAAGAAAAUCUUUGUGACCUUGGGAUAUGUUACCAAAAUAUGAGCCAUAAAAGAAAAAA